rnacentral:lncRNA from 1 species
GUGAAAAAGAGAAUGGAGGAGUACAGAUCAGGAGCCACCACUACCUUUCAGGAUCACCAUGGUACAGAAAAAGACUACCAGUGUCUCCAGUGACACUCUGCAAACUGAAGAAGCAUCAGCUGCUGAAGUGGUUUGUAUCAUAGAAUUUUCUUCUUCUGGCCCUGGAUCCUGUGGAUAUCAGAGCUGAAUGAUGCACUUUUCCAAGCAUAUUCUUAACUCAAACAACAAAAGCCUGCAAGUUUGCUGAAUAUUUCCAGACCCAGGCAGUUUGUCAGUGACCUGUAUCUCUUCAGGAUC